CAACCCUCAGGCCCCGCCUGGCGUUGGAGGACUGCGCACGCAGCCUCCCAAAGUGAGCGGCGGCGGCGCCCCAAGACCGAACGCAGUAGUUUUCUCUCGUUCAGGGCCUGGGACGUUGUCCUGCCGGAAAACCCCCAACUUUUACGU
rnacentral:misc_RNA from 1 species